rnacentral:rRNA from 1 species
ACGGGUGAGUAAUGCCUAGGAAUCUGCCUGGUAGUGGGGGACAACGUUUCGAAAGGAACGCUAAUACCGCAUACGUCCUACGGGAGAAAGCAGGGGACCUUCGGGCCUUGCGCUAUCAGAUGAGCCUAGGUCGGAUUAGCUAGUUGGUGAGGUAAUGGCUCACCAAGGCGACGAUCCGUAACUGGUCUGAGAGGAUGAUCAGUCACACUGGAACUGAGACACGGUCCAGACUCCUACGGGAGGCAGCAGUGGGGAAUAUUGGACAAUGGGCGAAAGCCUGAUCCAGCCAUGCCGCGUGUGUGAAGAAGGUCUUCGGAUUGUAAAGCACUUUAAGUUGGGAGGAAGGGUUGUAGAUUAAUACUCUGCAAUUUUGACGUUACCGACAGAAUAAGCACCGGCUAACUCUGUGCCAGCAGCCGCGGUAAUACAGAGGGUGCAAGCGUUAAUCGGAAUUACUGGGCGUAAAGCGCGCGUAGGUGGUUCGUUAAGUUGGAUGUGAAAUCCCCGGGCUCAACCUGGGAACUGCAUCCCAAACUGGCGAGCUAGAGUAUGGUAGAGGGUGGGUGGAAUUUCCUGUGUAGC